rnacentral:rRNA from 1 species
UGGGGAAUUUUGGACAAUGGACGCAAGUCUGAUCCAGCCAUGCCGCGUGCGGGAAGAAGGCCUUCGGGUUGUAAACCGCUUUUGUCAGGGAAGAAACGCUCUGGGUUAAUACCUCGGGGUAAUGACGGUACCUGAAGAAUAAGCACCGGCUAACUACGUGCCAGCAGCCGCGGUAAUACGUAGGGUGCAAGCGUUAAUCGGAAUUACUGGGCGUAAAGCGUGCGCAGGCGGUUAUGCAAGACAGAGGUGAAAUCCCCGGGCUCAACCUGGGAACUGCCUUUGUGACUGCAUAGCUAGAGUACGGUAGAGGGGGAUGGAAUUCCGCGUGUAGCAGUGAAAUGCGUAGAUAUGCGGAGGAACACCGAUGGCGAAGGCAAUCCCCUGGACCUGUACUGACGCUCAUGCACGAAAGCGUGGGGAGCAAACA